CGGCGAGUGAAGCGGGAUGAGCUCAAGCUUAAAAUCUCCACAGGAGUUUCCUGUGGCGAAUUGUAGUCUAUAGAGGCGCUGUCAGUGCGUCUGCUCGGGAUAAGUCUCUUGGAAAAGAGCAGCAUGGAGGGUGAUACUCCCGUUCUUGCCUGAGUAGAUUGCGCGUACGACACGUUUUCUUUGAGUCGCGUUGUUUGGGAAUGCAGCGCAAAGUGGGUGGUAAAUUCCAUCUAAAGCUAAAUAUUGGUGCGAGACCGAUAGCGAACAAGUACCGUGAGGGAAAGAUGAAAAGAACUUUGAAAAGAGAGUUAAAGAGUACCUGAAACUGCUGAAAGGGAACCGAAUCGUUUCCAGUGUCUAUAAUCCGUAGCAUAUUUCAUUGGCGAGUGGAUGCGUGCAGUGUUAAUGGCAGUGGCUUGCUGCGCCUUGCAUUGUUCUGCGUUUACUUGCUGGUGCCCUGUGUUGCGGUGAGACGUCAGAGUCAGUUCGUAUGCUGCGGGAAAUGGUCGUCGAGGAGGUAGGUGUUUUGCACUGUUAUAUCUCGGCUGACUAGUCGUCGUGGUUGGGACUGAGGUGCCUACAAUGUGCUUUAACGUCUUGCGGGCGCUCAUUUGAUCAACUGCUCUGAUAGCUUGCUAUGUUUGUGGUUUGGUCGGGUGAUUGUGUUUGUAAGUAACGUUUGCCGUUCGGGACUUUGACGAAA
rnacentral:rRNA from 1 species